CCAGCAGGACAUGCUUUGACACCUUUAUGGCUUUCAGCUUCUUUUGUCCCUUAAAAAUGCAUCAGUUCGAUGGUACAUGUUUGAGUGUUACGAUGGUAAGGAUAUUGCUGUUAUUGUAGGAUACAAUUAGCUAGGAGUAUUGGCUUAUUAAAAUUUGUCCUAUAUGGUUCCAUCUUAUUUAUAUGAUUGUCUGAGAUCCAAGGCACAAGGUUGAACACAUAUGAUUCCAUCUCCAUGAUCUACCGAAAGGGUUGCACAACCCCCAUAGUUUAGAAUUUGACACUCCUCUCAUCUAACAGCCUGUCCACCAGUUGGUGGUUUGGGCUUAUAAAGCCUUCCUCGACGUAUGACAUUCGGUUAUAAUCA
rnacentral:lncRNA from 1 species